CCCCUUCCCCGGCCUCCCGCCCCUCCCCUCGGCUGCCGCAGCCCUGCUCCUCGCAAGCGUCAGCGUGGGCUCCCCGGAGCGAGUCGCUAGGUAACAGGGCUGGCUCCGCAGACUCGAGGCCGGGGAAGCCCGUGCGCGUCGUCAGCAGCUGCGCUGCGGGGCGCGGGGCGCAGGACCCUCCCCCACGCAGCCCCGCGCGCUCCCCCGCCCAGGCUGCCAGAGCGGUGCCGAUCGCCGCCUCGAGGGGCCCCUCCCCUGUGGGGCCCCCGACGCCACCCGCCCCUUCCUCCUCCCCAGCUAGUGCGACUGCUCAGCGCGAGGCCAGGUGGGCGACUUGCUGCUGCGGUCGCCUCCGCUGGUCCUCCCGCCGAGCCCUGGAGCGGGGCAUGAGGAGCCCCCGGGUGUCGACUGGAGACCAGCGGGCCGCGCGCACACCUCCCCAGCGGCGGACGGGGACAUGAGCAGCGAGCUCGGGGUCCGGCGCCCCAGCCGGCGGCGCCCGGCGGGUCAGCGCUGCCCGGGAGAAUGAGGCAGGAGCCGGCGGCAGCCUCCUUCUCCUCCUCGCCCUCCUCUGGCUCCAGCGCCCCGGGCCCGGGCAGGGCUGUUUCUCUGCUGCGUGCCCCGCGCGCCCCUUGCCCGCCUCCGGAUGCUCUUCUCGGUUAGCCUGGAGAGGAAGAUAAAGACAUUUGCAACCAAGAUGGUAAUCACGAGCGGAAAUGAUGAAGACAGAGGAGGUCAAGAAAAAGAGAGCAAAGAGGAGAGCAUCCUGGCCAUGCUGGGGAUCAUCGGGACCAUCCUGAACCUGAUCGUUAUCAUUUUCGUCUACAUAUACACCACACUGUGAGUGGCCCAGCGUGUCCUCAGAGGAUCCAAUGGCCACGCGGCAGGAGUCCUGUGUGUCCUCCGAUCAGUGACCAGACGCCGGGAGGACCGCCAGGCCCGACACAAACCGCUGCAUCCAUGCCCCUCUGAACUCCAUAAAAGGUCACAAAAGAAACCGAUCCUGCUGCUAGGAGCAGACACCAAAGCACAAUGAAUCCAACAAAACUCGUUCAUGCCCCGAGGAACUCAGCGGCUUUAACAGGAGCCCUGGGAGCGUGCUCGGAAGUGCAGCCCUGGGAACCACCAGCAAGCGGGCGGGUGCAGAAACUCAUUGCUCCUGGUCGCUGACACACCUCGUACUCCCCGUGUUGGAGAGGAUGCCCAGGAUGGACGCAGCUCAGCGGGGCGUCUCUGAGGCGCGCACUCCACCUUCACCAGAUGAGCUGUUCGGCGGCAGCAGCCACGGGGAUGGACCUUCUGCAGGCACAGGUGUCCGCUGUCACAGUGUCUGACCAUUGGUUACUGGGGAGAUAACUUAUUUUUCUUUUUCAUUGGCUUGACGUGUGUAUCUGUUCAUAUCAACGUUUAUAAAUAUAUAUUUUUAAUAAACGUGCUCUAUUUUUAGCAUGAACCGAAUAUUUGGAGAGGCACUUCCAAAUCCGCAGUGCUUUCUUUAGUUUCCACUGCUUUGCCCCCUCUUCUCAACCGCAGAAUUUCUUUUGUGUAGCAUUGUAGUCCUCUUGUCUCAUCUGGAACCUUUUGCCUUUUGCUCUUGUGUCUCCUCUCCUCUCUUCUCUGUCUCUCUAUUCUCUCUCUCUCUGGUCUGGAGGACAUUUUUGUGUAAUACCAGCCAUGGUCUUGGUUGGUGCAUGUUUUAAGAUUGUCGAGCGGCUUUUUGUUGUUAUAUCAGAGAUAUGAAACAAUCGUGGGCAUGCAGACCUUAGAUGCACCCUAUCUUUACUGAGAACUAUGCAUGAACAAGGGCUGAGCGAUAGAUCAGCUUUAAAAAAAAACUUGCAAAAGGACAACGGCUGAGGAAGAAGAGUGGUGAGCUUUGCAGAUCAAACUCUGGACGGAAUAUUCAGCAUCUUGCCGGCAGCAUUAUUAUUUCAUUCAUGCAGCCAUUCUUUUCUCAGAUUUUGAUUUCAUUGACCAUGAGGGAUGGGAUGAGCAGGAGGAAACUCAGCCUUAGGUGCAUAAUUCCUUCUUUAGCAAGAUGCCUAGUGUCCCCUUUGCAGGUGGGUGGGGUGUCAAUGACACAAAGCCCACAGUGGUUCAGGCUGUGAGGACCCCUGUGACAGGUGACUUGUCAGCGCCCCGGAAGGGGGUGUGCUGAUCAUCCCGAGCGAUUGCUGUGCUUUAAAGCUCUGGGUUUCCCCAGUGUGAAGCUUCCUCCCUGGCAGGGGUGGUGGAAUAAACACAGAUUUGCCCUAUUUUCCUGGCUCCCUGAAAUGGCCCUUGCCUGGCUGCAGGGGCCAGUAUUCUGCCUGUCAAGAGGGCAGCAAAAGGGGCUCAGGCUCUGAGGAAGUCUCUCCCUUCUUCCUGAAAUUCCACCAUUAGAGAGCCAUUUCUUGGGCUCUACUAAGGGACCAGGCUCUUUUAUAAAGCAAAUGCCCCAAGCACCUGACUCUGACACUGAUUCAUCAGAUACCUUCUCUUCCCCCCAGACAGAAGGAAGCUGAGGUGUAUUUAGGGCGUGCUGUGUGCUAGGAACUUUACGUACAAGUCAUGGAUCCUCAUGGUAACCCUGAAAAAGAGUCUUCGCGUGUCAUAGAAGAAGGGAGGGCUCAGGUCAGAAAGCUCCCUGGGGUCACAUGGCUCCUUGUGAAGUUAGGACUCCAGCCCCACCAGAUUGCUCAGCCUAGAGAGUGCCUGGAUGCUACUGAGGAAGAGAGGAAAAGGAGACGGGGAGAGGUGGCAGGGAACAGGGCCGGACAGGGACACAGCUCUGCACACCUGCCUCCCCGUCCCUGUAGCAGUAACCAGGCCUGGUCACUCCUGGGACACAGGCAGGAUGUCACACAGGUGAGGACACAGGGCAGAGGAGGCUGUUGGCAAUCAGCAGGGAGGUCGGGGAGGGCACUCUCCACGGGGCUCUGUGGUUCCAGAAAGUCUGUAUGAAAUUCUGAACAGUGAACAGUCGACAAUAAAGGUGCAAUGGAAAAAAC